rnacentral:rRNA from 1 species
CCAGACUCCUACGGGAGGCAGCAGUGGGGAAUAUUGCACAAUGGGGGAAACCCUGACGCAGCGACGCCGCGUGAGUGAAGAAGUAUCUCGGUACGUAAAGCUCUAUCAGCAGGGAAGAAAAUGACGGUACCUGACUAAGAAGCCCCGGCUAACUACGUGCCAGCAGCCGCGGUAAUACGUAGGGGGCAAGCGUUAUCCGGAUUUACUGGGUGUAAAGGGAGCGUAGACGGCAGCGCAAGUCUGAAGUGAAAUGCCGGGGCUUAACCCCGGAACUGCUUUGGGACCUGUACGGCUGGAGUGCAGGAGAGGUAAGUGGAAUUCCUAGUGUAGCGUUGAAAUGCGUAGAUAUUAGGAGGACCACCAGUGCCGAAGGCGGCUUACUGGACUGUAACUGACGUUGAGGCUCGAAACCGUGGGGAGCAAUCAGGAUUAGAUACCCCGGUACG